rnacentral:ncRNA from 2 species
AGCGCCACAAUAGUUUUAGGUGCUGAAAGGCAUAAUAUGGGAAUCCCGUUAAAAUCGGGAGCGGGCCCGCCGCUGUAACUGGGGACGUUGAUUGCAUGAUAGCCACUGAUUUUUGAUCGGGAAGGCGCGAUUUAACGGAUGAUCUGGAAGCCAGAAGACCUGCCUGAAACAUUUUUGUUAU